rnacentral:rRNA from 1 species
GACGAACGCUGGCGGCGUGCUUAACACAUGCAAGUCGAACGGAAAGGCCCUGCUUUUGUGGGGUGCUCGAGUGGCGAACGGGUGAGUAACACGUGAGUAACCUGCCCUUGACUUUGGGAUAACUUCAGGAAACUGGGGCUAAUACCGGAUAGGAGCUCCUGCUGCAUGGUGGGGGUUGGAAAGUUUCGGCGGUUGGGGAUGGACUCGCGGCUUAUCAGCUUGUUAGUGGGGUAGUGGCUUACCAAGGCUUUGACGGGUAGCCGGCCUGAGAGGGUUGCCGGCCACAUUGGGACUGAGAUACGGACCAGACUCCUACGGGAGGCAGCAGUGGGGAAUAUUGCACAAUGGGGGGAAGCCUGAUGCAACAGCGCCGCGUGCGGGAUGACGGCCUUCGGGUUGAAAACCGCUUUCGACUGUGACGAAGAGUGAGUGACGGUAAUGGGUAAAGAAGCACCGGCUAACUACGUG